CCACAGGAAGUGCUAACGCUUGCUGGCCACAAAAUAACAUACAUUAGAGUCAACACUUCUAGUCUCUCCCACGCGAUUACGAUGCAUAUGGUGAGCUAUGCUGGCAAAGCGGACAUUCAAAUAUUGGCGGCUAAGGAUAUCAUACCCGACCCACAAGUGCUAGCUAGGUGCUUUGAAAGCUCACUACAAGAAAUGAAGAAAGCUGCAAUUGAUCAAAUUGGCAUAAGUGAAUGAAGUCCACUCAUUAUUUUACAUUUUAAAACAUGGAAACAAGGGCUAAUGAUUCAAUAUAUACUUGUACAUGUAGUUGUAAUGCAAUCACAAAUUCAUACAUGUAACUUUGUAUUUUGUUUCCUUUACUCACAAAUUGCAAUAUAUGUUGGCUUAGUUUACAUA